rnacentral:rRNA from 1 species
UUCGGCAGGGACGAUAAUGACGUACCUGAAGAAGAAGCUGCGGCUAAUUAAGUGCCAGCANCCGCGUUAAUACGUAGGCAGCGAGCGUUNUUCGGAGUUACUGGGCGUAAAGAGUGCGUAGGCGUUUUNUAAGUUUGGUGUGAAUCUCCCGGNUCAACCGGGAGGGUGCGCCGAAGACUGGAAGGCUAGAGUGUGGGAGAGGUAAGCGGAAUUCCUGGUGUAGCGGUGAAAUGCGUAGAUAUCAGGAGGAACACUUGCGGUGUAGACGGCUUACUGGACCAUAACUGACGCUGAGGCACGAAAGCGUGGUUANCAAACAGGAUUAGAUACCCUGUUANUCCACCCCUUAAACGAUGCAUACUUGGUGUGGUAUUCAUUUNUC